rnacentral:rRNA from 1 species
AGACCUCUAAUCGGAAAAGACC